rnacentral:tRNA from 1 species
GAUCCUCAGUUGGUAGAGCAUGAAACUCUUAAUCCCAGGGUUGUGGGUUCAAGGCCCAUGUUGGGCA